CGCUGAGAACCUAAGUUGUUCCAGGCACUGAUAGAGAGGUGUGAGUAGCAUGGUAUAAAAAGUCAUGAACGAAUUCACAUGAGGCAGUAGAAGAUGCACGUCUUCUCAUGGGAGAACUUCUAGAGGACUAAAGGUUACUGGCCUCUUUUAUUCUUUUCAUGAUGCCCACCCAUUCCUGUGAAUGACUCCUGUAGCAUCACUAAAAUGUCAUCUCCAGCUUGUUCUCCAGGAAGGAUGAACGUGUGGAAGCUGGCAUUUGAUUUCUUCCUGCUGGCUACUGACCUUAGAGAGACAGCAUGGACAGUGUGGAUACUCACUCUAACAUCAGGCAUGCUAUCAGAAAAGAGACAGAUAUGGAGGUUCUUGUACCAACAAGACUGUAUACUAUAUACUAGACAUUCUGGUGACCUGUAAGUCCAACAAAGAAAACAUAUAUCUCAAUUUAAAUC